rnacentral:rRNA from 1 species
UACGUAGGGUGCAAGCGUUAAUCGGAAUUACUGGGCGUAAAGGGCGCGCAGGCGGCUCAGACAGUCAGAUGUGAAAGCCCCGGGCUUAACCUGGGAACUGCAUUUGAUACUACUGAGCUUGAGUACGGGAGAGGAUAGUGGAAUUCCCAGUGUAGAGGUGAAAUUCGUAGAUAUUGGGAAGAACACCGGUGGCGAAGGCGGCUAUCUGGACCGUAACUGACGCUGAGGCGCGAAAGCGUGGGGAGCAAACAGG